rnacentral:rRNA from 1 species
AUUGAACGCUGGCGGAAUGCUUUACACAUGCAAGUCGAACGGUAGAGGGGGCAACCCCUUGAGAGUGGCGAACGGGUGAGUAAUAUAUCGGAACGUGCCCAGUCGUGGGGAUAACGUAGCGAAAGUUACGCUAAUACCGCAUACGAUCUAAGGAUGAAAGCGGGGGAUCGCAAGACCUCGCGCGAUUGGAGCGGCCGAUAUCAGAUUAGGUAGUUGGUGAGGUAAAGGCUCACCAAGCCAACGAUCUGUAGCUGGUCUGAGAGGACGACCAGCCACACUGGAACUGAGACACGGUCCAGACUCCUACGGGAGGCAGCAGUGGGGAAUUUUGGACAAUGGACGCAAGUCUGAUCCAGCCAUUCCGCGUGCAGGAUGAAGGCCUUGGUU